UCUACAAAUUCCUUCUAUAGUCUUGGUCCUCAAAGCUCUACCUUCAACAAAUUUAGAGAGUUCUUCUCUAACCAAGAUAAGAUAUUUCAUAUCCCAUAAUCCUAAAGGCAUGGCUACUAAGUCAAUCAUCCAUUGAAAGUACACGGUAAGUGAAUAGCUAGGAUAUAAUUCAUCCAUGUAUUUAUUUUUAGAUUGUAAUUGAUAUUCUAUACAAGAAGCAAAAAAUUCUUCCACAUCUUUGUAAAGACCUUUCCACCAAUAUCAUUCUUUGAUUUUGUUGCAGGUAGUCCAAAUUCCUCUAUGCCCUACCCAAAGGGUAUCAUAAAAUUCUUUAAGAAUCUGAUUUUUAGUCUCUAUAUCAUCAAUCAUCGUUAAUGGCACUCCAACUUUUUUUUUGGCCUUUUCUACAAAAAACUAUCCUUUAGAAGAUAGUUAUAAGACUGGUGUCUAAUAUCUUUAAAGAUCUUGU
rnacentral:lncRNA from 1 species